GACGAACGCUGGCGGCGUGCUUAACACAUGCAAGUCGAACGCUGAAGCUCAGCUUUUGUUGGGUGGAUGAGUGGCGAACGGGUGAGUAACACGUGAGUAACCUGCCCCCUUCUUUGGGGUAACGCCCGGAAACGGGUGCUAAUACUGGAUAUUCACUGGUCUUCGCAUGGGGGUUGGUGGAAAGGGUUUUUCUGGUGGGGGAUGGGCUCGCGGCCUAUCAGCUUGUUGGUGGGGUGAUGGCCUACCAAGGCUUUGACGGGUAGCCGGCCUGAGAGGGUGACCGGGCACAUUGGGAAUGAGAUACGGCCCAGACUCCUACGGGAGGCAGCAGUGGGGAAUAUUGCACAAUGGGCGCAAGCCUGAUGCAGCGACGCCGCGUGAGGGAUGGAGGCCUUCGGGUUGUGAACCUCUUUCGCUCAUGGUCAAGCCGCAACAAUGGUUGUGGUGAGGGUAGUGGGUAAAGAAGCGCCGGCUAACUACGUG
rnacentral:rRNA from 1 species